rnacentral:rRNA from 1 species
UACGUAGGGUGCGAGCGUUGUCCGGAAUUAUUGGGCGUAAAGAGCUUGUAGGCGGUUUGUCGCGUCUGCUGUGAAAAUCCGGGGCUCAACCCCGGACUUGCAGUGGGUACGGGCAGACUAGAGUGUGGUAGGGGAGACUGGAAUUCCUGGUGUAGCGGUGAAAUGCGCAGAUAUCGGGAGGAACACCAAUUGCGAAGGCAGCUCGCUGGGACGUCACUGACGCUGAGACGCGAAAGCAUGGGGAGCGAACAGG